UGCGCCCCGCGCGGCGCGUAGUUUGGGCCGCGGUCCUGGGUUCGGGCGCGGCGUAGGGCUCGUAGUCGUCCGUUGAGUCUGUGGUGCAGCGGGAACAGCUGGUGGUCCCCAUGGCUUUCUUUUAAAGGAAUGCUGCCGCCUUCAAAAGAACAUGUCGGAUGGAGAUGGUCCACCGCCAGAAACUCUUGAGGAGGAAAGGCAGCCAGGCGGUUCCCAUCCUGCAGGUCCUGAAGCCAGCCGUUUGAAGAAGAGCAGUUGGGGCUUCUUACCUACUGGUGUUGUUGGUGGGACACUGGUGGCCCUGUACGCCGUGGCCACACCCUUUAUAACACCAGCCCUCCGAAAAAUUUGCUUGCCUUUUGUACCUGCAACAACGAAGCAGGUGGAAAAUGUUGUGAAGAUGCUGCGAUGCAGGAGAGGACCCCUGGUAGAUAUUGGUAGCGGCGACGGACGCAUUGUGAGUUACACCAAGGUGAUAGCCGCCGCAAAGGAAGGGUUCACAGCUGUGGGUUAUGAAUUGAACCCCUGGCUCGUCUGGUACUCAAGGUACCGCGCCUGGCGAGAAGGUGUGCAGGGAUCCGCCACCUUUUACAUCUCAGACCUGUGGAAGGUCACUUUUUCUCAGUACUCAAACGUUGUCAUUUUCGGGGUACCCCAGAUGAUGCCGCAGUUGGAGAAGAAGCUCGAGCUUGAACUUGAGGACGAUGCUAGGGUCAUUGCCUGCCGGUUCCCUUUCCCUCACUGGACCCCGGCCCAGGUCACGGGGGAGGGAGUGGACACCGUGUGGGCCUACGACGCGAGCGCCUUCAGAGGAGGCGGCCGGAGGCCCUGAAGAUCCGCGCGUGCGUUUCCGGGCGGUCAUUCAGAUACCAGCCUCAUCGAGAGAGAGGUUUCUAGCGUGUGGGGUCUUUGAUUCUAUAGAGACGUAGGCCGGUCUUCCUUCAGCCAAGAGGAUGUUUUUCCUUGCUGUGGACUGAGAAAUGACGAUUGCUUUUCUUAACCUGUGGAGAAAAAUAAACAAGUUUAGAGCAGCAGGUCGAUGUGCAGCCCCUCUCACGGUGCAUUCUAACGCCCGCGCUCGCUGCUUCCCACGCCCCCGGUACGUGAACGUGUGACCGGGUGAUGGUCGUCCAAAGGGUGGGUGAGCCGGCAGCAGCUCUGCGCGUGCUCAAGAGUGUGAUUUAACGCCGCAGGUGAGGAGGAGCAGUUUUCAAAAGAGGGUGUGGGUGUUUACCUUCGCAGUUUCCUGUCAUUUUAUUCCUACCCAAGAGUAUCCCUUUCUUUUCUGUACUUCAUGGCAAAGUCAGUUUUCUAAAGGUUUUAGAGAGGCAUUUAUAUUUAUAACAUUUCUUAGGAGUAAUUUGUUCCAAGACCAGUGGAUGACUGUACUUUGUUGACUCUACGAUGUACGUGUGUGUAAAAGUGUGUAUUUGUACACAUUUGAACACUUCUGAGUUGCCCUGUACCUUCCAGUUGAGGGCGCCUUAUAACUGAUCGGCAGCGUCACGCUAGGUGAGGUGCUAGGUUCCGAUCCCCACCUGGUCACCGGCAGGGGCCUUGGACCAGCGACACACCUUCCCGGAGCUCUUGGGUUCCUGAGCCCCCGCCUCUGGGAUAACGAUACACUGAACAGGGGCCUGGGGACUGAUCUGUAAAACCCGCGGCACGGAGUCUGUGGUCUGUAAGUGGCGUUUAUUAUUUUAGACACUAAAGGAAGACCUAUUCACUGAAGUUGCAGAUUACUCCUCCUCAUCACUUCUUUAUUUUAGGAAAGCAGCUGUUUGUUUAAUAUUUCUCCGUUAUGAGAAGAGGCUUGACUGGUUUAGUUUAAGAGAAGUUAAGGCAAACCUCUGACCAGCUUCAUAUAUCUGAAAAAUUAACAUUGAAUGGGUGGCUCGAAUAAUCCCUGCAUAUCACAGAAAAUAAUUAAACUGCCCGUCAUCCACCUGAAACAUACAUACCAGACCAUCUUAACAGAAAUUUGACGACGUGAGAUAAUUUGCAUCUUUAGCUCAACUGAUUUGAAAAACGGUCCAUUUGAUGAUCUUCAUUUAAAUGAGAAGCAACUGGGGACGCCAUUCAUUCAUUCAGUAAAUACUGAGUGUCUGCUGUGUAAUAAGCUUUUCCCAUUCAAUGGUGAGUGACAUGCAAGGCCCCAAAUCUUACGGGACUUAUACUCUGGAAGAGAGAUGAACAAACAGACACAGUCGUGCUGGAUUUGCAGAGGCAUCAGGCAUACUGCUUGCAGUUUGGGGUGUUUUCUCCUUUAGCUUCCUGAGAAUUAGGUGAUGCUUGGUCCUGCAAUCUCCAAGAAGAAUGAACUGUUUCAUUAAAGUGUUGUGAUUCAGAGUCUGCACAGUCUGUAAUUGACUUUUAAAAUUGUGGCUUUAAGUAAACGGUGCAAUAUGAAUUUUCUUGUAGAGGUUGCUCUGGCUUC